AUAAUGAGACUCCCGCGUUGAACGCCCUCAAAGCAUUGCGCGGCGCACCCAUCAGUAUGGGCCGGGGUGAAAUUCCCGUGG
rfam:Pseudoflavonifractor capillosus ATCC 29799 B_capillosus-2.0.1_Cont352, whole genome shotgun sequence.